GUGCUCGCUUCGGCAGCAUAUAUGCAAAAAUUGGAAUGAUACAGAAAAAAUUAGCAUGGCCCCAGCGAAAGGAUGACACCCAAAUUUGUGAAGCUUUCCAUAUUUUU
ensembl:snRNA U6 U6 spliceosomal RNA